AAGUAUUUUGCAUAUAAAAAAUAUAGAAAAAAAUUGUGUAUCAAUAAUCAAUACUGAAGAAAAAUAGACUAUCAGAAGCAUGCAAAGGGUAUCACAGUAACAGAUGAGAAAACCCUUCUGAAAAGUUAGGGUUUUCAAGCAUAGUCGAGUUUUAGAGAUAGUAAAAACCCAGAAUUAGAGGAAUCACUUAAAGAAAAAGAGAUUAUGAAACAAGGAACUUUCAAAUCAAGUCAGGUAUUCAAACGAACAGUUUCAAUCCAAAGACACAGGUUUUUCUCCAACAAUAGUCAAGCUUAAAAGAUGAUAAACAAAUGAAUCAAACAAGAACUUAACCAAACAAGCACUUAUCUGACAAACAGUUUCAGAACUCGAAUGAGACCCAAAAGAAUUAGGGUUUUAACAACAAUCCAGUUCAAAUAUGAUAAACAAAAAAAUCAAAUAAAUACUAGCAACAGUUUCAGAAGCUCAAAUGAACCAAAAAGAAAUUAGGGUUUUCAACACGCUAAAUUCAUAUAGGAAAAUAACAUGAUCAUAACAUAGAAAAAUUAGAAACAUGCUACAAUCAGAGAGGAGGUUUCAAAUAAUUCAAAAGAGGAACCUUAAUCAAAAAAAAUGAAGAGUCGUUUUGAAAGAGAAGUCAAAGAAAUUUCGAGAAGAUGCUUAGAAACUCAUGGAAAGCAUGGAUAAAAGGUAGAUCUGAAAGAAAUCGAAAAGUCUCAGAGAAUAGGAUUUCAGAAGAACCCAAAAAAGCAACGAGAAAGUCCUUGAAAGUUACCGAUCUAAACAUGAGAGUCAAAGGUCUGACUCGAAUGGCCAUGGCUGGCAGAAGAAAGGCCAUGGAUGACCGGAGAAAGGUCAUCGAGAAAGUACUGGAUGAAUUCCCUUCAAAGUCUGGUCAUGAGACCACAGAACCAAACACAUAGAAACCAUGGAAGGCUGGUAUAGGUCUCAGAUGACCCCGAAAAGCCAUGGAUUGGGGUAGAUUAGGGUGGCAGUGACUAGGGCUUGGGGGUGUUACAGAGAGUGUUUGAGAGAGAAGGUCAUUCAAGGGCGGCGAUAGG
rnacentral:lncRNA from 1 species